rnacentral:lncRNA from 13 species
CCGGACACAGAUCCCUGGUUGGGGAAGUCGAGCUGAGGGAAAGCAGGAACCAAGAGAGGGACUAUGUUAUUCAAAAUAAUUAACAGACAUUACUUUAUGGAUAUGAGGACAUGGGAAGCAUUGUGCCCACUUUCGGCUUCUCAUAUGGUUUAUUGUUUGAUUUUUUCAUUUUGGACCCUUGUUACCUUCAUUGUAAAAUAUUAACUUAAGUAUUUACACUUGGUAACUUACUUACCAUAACUUAUUGGGUGUAACUGUAACAUACUUACCAUAGCUUACAUGGUGUAACUGUAACUUACUUACAAUUGUUAAGUAACUUACUGGGUGUAACUGACAUACUGGGCUUGACUCACUGACUGGGCAUAACUAAGUGGGUGUAACUUGCUUACUGUAACUUAAGUAUGUUGAUCUGGCAUAAACAACUUUAACUUCAGAAAAGUAUAUAAUGAAACAGGUUGCAAAAAUAAAAUUGCUGCUUGGACAUAGCCUAAGCCAACCCUCCAGACUCCGCUUUUCUAUUUUCUUUCACUUCUGCGCACUCUCUCCCUCAGGUUGAAUGAGACAUCUACAUUGGCGGUCUCGGGGACUCCCGCAGGUCGGUAGACCCCGGAAGACGUGCCGGACCCCAACAAUGGGCUACCUGUCCAGCAAGGGAACCAGCUGCCCAGAUUGAAAAGCAUAUGCUCUCAUGCUUCUCUGUGAUGGGCAUACCUGCAAAACUAAAAACUGAUAAUGGACCAGGAUAUACUAAUAACUCUCCUGAUCCUGUUUGGAUUCCAUCAUGGCAUCUUAAGCUCAUCCCUGAAGAACAACAUGAGCUCCCACCGCUGCCCCUGCGGAAAUCACAGGAGAGCCCCAAAUCUGAUGGACCAACUUCUGGAUGAUCAUAUCGUCCAUCUCCCUAAUCACAACUCUUCUGGCUGCCAUGCUUCUUCUCACCACCUCGGCAGUUUACCCCACCCUCCUCCUCCUCCUCCUCUAAUUCCUGCCCCUCCUCCCCAUUCUCCUCACCAUCCUGUUAAUGAAAGCCCGC